AAGAAGGUGACAGAGUGGUUAUGUGGCUGACUUGAAAUCAGUUUAUGGGGGUUCAAUUCCCUCCCUUCUUG
rnacentral:tRNA from 1 species